rnacentral:rRNA from 1 species
UACGUAGGUGGCAAGCGUUGUCCGGAAUUACUGGGUGUAAAGCGCGUGUAGGCGGCAGGCCAAGUCUGCGGUGAAAGCGCCCGGCUCAACUGGGCGAGGUCCGUGGAAACUGGUCAGCUGGAGGACGGUAGAGGCGAGUGGAAUUCCCGGUGUAGUGGUGAAAUGCGUAGAGAUCGGGAGGAACACCUGUAGCGAAGGCGGCUCGCUGGGCCGGUCCUGACGCUGAGGUGCGAAAGCGUGGGGAGCAAACAGG